AUGGGGGCGUGGCGGGAGCCUGGGAGAGAGAGACCGGGACGGAGGGACACAGGGACAGAGGGAUGUGGGGACAGAGGGACAUGGGGACAUGUAGACAUGGGGACAGAGGGACACAGGGAUGGAGGGAUGCGGGGACAGAGGGGCACGGGGACAGAGGGAUGUGGGUACAGAGGGACGUGGGGACAGAGGGAUGUGGGGACACAAGGACAUGAGAACAGAGGGAUACAGGGAUGUGGGGACAGAGUGACAUGGAGACAGAGGGACGUGGGGACAGAGGGACACGGGGACACAAGGGACAUGAGAACAGAGGGAUGCAGGGACACAGAGACAUGGGGACAGAGGGAUGCGGGGACAGAGGGAUGCAGGGCAGAGGGACAUAGGGACAGAGGGACACAGAGACACAGAGGCAUGGGGACAGAGGGAUGUGGGGACCAGGGACACGGGGUCAGAGGGACAUGGGGACAGAGGGACAUAGGGACAGGGACACAGACACGGGGACAGAGGGAUGCAGGGACAGAGGGACAAGGGGACAGAAGGACACUGGGACAGAGGGACACGGGGACAGAGGGGCAUGGGGAUAUAAGGGACAUGAGAGCAGAGGGAUGCAGUGAUGUGGGGACAGAGGGACAUGGGGACAGAGGGAUGCAGGGACAGAGGGACAGAGGGACACAGGGACACGAGGACAGAGGGAUGCAGGGACACUGGAGUCUACAGAGGGACAUUGAGACAGAGGAACAUGGGGACACAGAGACACCGGGACAGACGGGCACGGGGACACAGAGACACGGGGACAGAGGGACGCAGGAACAGAGGGAUACUGGGACAGAGGGGCACAGGGACACAGAGACUCGGGGACAGAGGGACACAGGAACAGAGGGACACCGGGACAGAGGGGCACGGGGACACAGAGACAUGGGGACAGAGGGAUGCAGGGACAGAGGGAGGCAGGGACAGAGGGAUGCAGGAACAGAGGGACACUGGGACAGAGGGGCAUGGGGGCACAGAGACCUGGGGACAGAAGGAGGCAGGGACAGAGGGACACAGGGACACAAAGACGAGAACAGAGGGACGCAGGGACAGAGGGACACAUGA
rnacentral:lncRNA from 1 species